rnacentral:lncRNA from 1 species
UGCUACACUACAAGGUUGGGCCCGUGCCCUACAGAGUGAAGGACCUGACGACCUCAGUGCGGCGCGGCCGUCACGGUCAACCGAGAACAAUCAUUUGCCAUGACCUCGAUGAUCGCUAUCAUGACCGCUUCAUUUUUGGAAGUGCACAGACCGACUGCUGCCGUUUCCACUACUGGCAUUUAGUGAACGUAGUGAUCUACUACUCUCGCUACUUGGUCACCAUCCCACCGCCCGGCUGGAUCUCGGCGGCGCACACACACGGUACAAGGGUCCUAGGGACCGUGGUGCGCCAUCUGUGAUGCUGAGAUGACGUGUAAUCUGACCUCUAAGCUUGUACAAAUUGCAGCCAUGCACAAGUUCGACGGUUGGGCUCUGAGCUUUGGUCUGAGCACGGUGGAACGAACCCCAGCUAGACAACUCUGCCCUACGUGCUGGCAACAGAAAGGCAGAUGUCUUCGCCGGGAUUGACGUGUACGCCAGACGGACCUGGUAUCCUGGUGGUUACGAUACAGACAAGAGGGUGAACAACCGACCUUGGUCCGAUAUGUCCAAGAUGCAGCUGCAGCCAAUUGACCAAGGCUUUAAUCUUCGUGACACGAACUGCUCGGCGACUGUGUACACUGACGACGCCUUCAGCGGCGGUGGAUUAUUGCGUUGUCUUCACAAGCCGAACCGGAAUCUGCCAGACGCAAAACUGUACAUACGGCCCUUCGAUCUUGAGGACGUCCGAGCUCCGAACGGGCCUUCGAUCGAAGAAAUUGGCCUGUAUAUGGUGAACCCGGGACGACGGACAGCAGUCUUUCUGUUGGGAGAGCUCCACAUAAGACGACCCGCUGAUGAACCAAAAACGCGUCAGAGUAUUAUUUUGCCGAGAGACGAAGUGUGCGUUCGCGAGAGAGUGGGCGCGGUCGCGACAGAUACCGACGAGCCGGAGAGAAAAAGGUAUCGAGAUGAGGAGCAUGCGCCUGCCCACCUGAUCAUCGCGACAGCCACCUAAUAAAAAAAA